rnacentral:rRNA from 1 species
UACAGAGGGUGCAAGCGUUGUUCGGAAUUAUUGGGCGUAAAGGGCGCGUAGGCGGUGCGGUAAGUCUGUAGUGAAAUCUCUGGGCUCAACUCAGAGUCUGCUAUAGAAACUGCCGUGCUUGAGUGUGGGAGAGGUGAGUGGAAUUCCCGGUGUAGCGGUGAAAAUGCGUAGAUAUCGGGAGGAACACCUGUGGCGAAAAGCGGCUCACUGGACCACAACUGACGCUGAGGCGCGAAAGCUAGGGGGAGCAA